UUUUUUUUUUUUUUUUUUGAGAGGAAGUCUCACUCUUGUCCCCCAGGCUGGAGUGCAAUGGCACGAUCUCAGCUCUCUGCAAUCUCCGCCUCCCGGGUUCAAGAGAUUCUCCUGCCUCAGCCUUCCGAGUAGCUGGGAUUACAGGCACCUGCCACCAUGCCUGGUUAAUUUUUGUAUUUUUAGUAGAGACAGGGUUUCAACAUGUUGGCCAGGUUGGUCUUGAACUCCUGACCUCAGGUGAUCCACCUGCCUCGGCCUCCCAAAGUCCUGGGAUUACAGGCGUGAGCCACCGUGCCUGGCUUUUUUUUUUUUUUUUAAAAAACAAAUACUUUCUUAUUUAAGACACACAAUCACUCCCAGAAGAGUGGAGUAUUACCUCUUUUACAGAUGGGAAACUGGAGGCUCAGAAAGGCUAUUUAGGACCUUGCCCCAGUGGUCACCCAGUUAAGAAGCUCGAAGAGCCAGAAUACAACCCACGUAGGUCCAGAGCCCCAGCUGUCCACCACUAUACUCAAGUGGCUGGAGAGGGCAUUUUAGAACACUUAAAAUGAAAACCAACUAAAAGAAAACCUAAUUCACACAUCAUUAAUAAAAGCCAGUUACUGUAUAGAAAGCAGACGGCCUGUAUUCUUAAAAAGAUGAUAGGCUUUAACUAUCUAGGGCAUGAAAAAAAAGUAGGAGUCUAAUUAUGGAUGCUCUUUCUUCUAAAGUAGAGAGAUAUGUGCAUCAAGUUAACAAGCACCAUUUCUGAGUUUUACAAAGAUGAAGUUUUAAAAUGUGAAUGAUCCUGACUUGUCAGCUUAGCAACAAUCACAGAAUUCAUUACUUACAUUUUCACUAAGGGGGGAGGGGUUAUCUAGGUCAGUCCACCUAGAUGUAAAAAUAGAUUUCUGCAAUGUUGAAAGAGUACACUGCCUCAUUAUUAUUCCAGUCUCAAAGGCUGAAAUAAGCCCAGCAAGACAGACCAUGUAGUUUCCCUGUUAUCUCAACAGGUAUUGAUUUUGAAUUUAAAAAAUGACCAUUCAGUAACUAAGAACUUCAUCUCAUGGAGUCUUUGCCCACUUCUAGGCAGAAACUCCAUAUCCCUGAAAGAUUAGUCGACUCUUCCCAUGACCCCCUAGUUCUCAUUGGCAUUUUUAGGGGAGCUAAUUCACCAAAUGAGUUCAUAAAAGGGUUCUUUUUAAAUCCUAUACUAGUUUCCUCCCAAGGAGAUGGUGACAUCAAGAAAUUAGCACUCGAUGUCUUCCUCUCGCAUCACAUACGUUCUGGGUGUCAGGAAAACAUAUCUUUACAGCUGCAUCCAAGUGAGUUCCACAAUACAGGAGCUACGAUCAUUUAAAUGGAUGAAUACUUUCUGCACAGUAAAAUUGUUGCUUUCCCUUCAUUACAACAGACUUAUUGUAGCCUCAGGACAGACUUGAAAUUACAUCAACCCUGCUUGAGAAAAGUUAUUAUUAUGAGUUUACAAAAAUUUCACUAGUUCUACCUAUUCCUCGCUGUCUCAACAAUAAAAAACCUAAAAGCAGAUAGCUGAGAAGUUUCAACUGGGACCUCAAGAAGUCCAGCAUCACUGUAGUAGAAUUUGUGAUUACGGUCUGCUGAAGUUCUAGCCCUUCUCUGAUUUCCUCUCUUCACUAGAUCUGACUGGCCCAAUGUGCUAAUUUACGAUAAUCCGCACAUAUAAUGUCUAACUCAGUUUUAAUACACAGCUUAUUUAAAAAUCGGGUAUCUCCAUGCUAACAAUACAAGGCAGCAGGUACAAUAACAUUGUCAGUAGAAUUGUUUUAUUUAUUUAUUUAUUUAUUUAUUUAUUUAUUUAAAGACAGAGUCUCGCUCUGUGCCCAGGCUGACGCGAUCUCGGUUCACUGCAACCUCCGCCUCCCGGGUUCAAGUGAUUCUCCGCCUCACCCUCCCGAGUAGCUGGGAUUACAGGCGCCCACCACCACGCCCGGCUAAUUUUUGUAUUUUUAGUAGAGACAGGGUUUCACCAUCUCGGCCAGGCUGGUCUUGAACUCCUGACCUGGUGAUCCACCUAUCUCGGCCUCUCAAAGUGGUGGGAUUACAGGCAUGAGCCACCGCCCCCGGCCCGUCAGCAGAAUUUUAAAGAAAAUCAAGAAAUCACAUAAGGUUUUGACCUUUUAAUAGAAAAGACUGGCGUAGACAGGCAACAGUGGCAGAUGCGGCAGAAACACUCUGCAGUUACCUUACACAAUUGCUUUACCACAUUCCACCUAAGCAGUUGAGGCACAAACUUUAUCACCACCAUUUUACAGGUUAUGAAGAGUGAGUUUUGUAAAGUUGCAUGAGUUUUGCCAAACCACUUAAAUGAGUUGACAAUGAGCCAUCCAUCCCGCUAAGAUUACUAAUCUUGUUUACACAAAGAAGAUCACAGUUGUGACAAGAAAAAACAAGCUUUCACAUUUCAAGUCUGCAAUAUUAACUUUACAGAAUCCUCUCAAUUACAAAUGCAUUCGAAGAUGAUCUCCUUUUCUUCAUAGUUCUGUUAACUAGCAUUACAGCUAUCCAAGAAGAAAUGUCUACCUGUGGGUAAGCACAUUUCUUCAAUGUUUAUUCCAAAUGGAGUUUCUGGUUAUUUUCACAGCAAACUGUUACGAAACUUAUACACAAAGUGCAAAAACAAGAGAAUUGUAAGAUUGAGAUGAGUGCAUGAGGUAUUAUUCCACCAAAUAUAUUCAAUCUGUAAAAACUCAAAUCAUCCUUCCAAAAUGAUUAACAGAUGCUAAAGGAAAAAGGGAAAGCGGGCAAAUAAACCAGAGACUCAUUGCUUCACUUCUGGGGCAAUCGAUUACUACUUCAAAUUAUGAGUGAAGACCAAAAUCCUGCACAAAGGGCCGCGACACAACCCCGUCACUAUUGCUACUAUUUCCAUCCAGUUGGUCUCUCGAUCUUGGAAGUGGCAGGCCAGAAUCUGAGCCCGGCUCUCCCUCCGUGAACUUUACACAGAGGCUGACACCCAAAUCCCCAGUUCUCGGACAAGCGAGUAAGUAGUUGGCGGAGCAAAGAACAACUCCAGGUGCCUCCUGCCAGAACAGAUGCCAGCGUGGAGGAGGUGCUUUGUUAAAUGGCACUUCAAUCAGCCCUGGGGAGAACGGGUUACAGAGCCUCACAUCCAGCCUCGACGAUUCAACAGCCCGGGAGGGCAAAGGCACUUACUGGGCAGCUGCCAUGUACCAGACGCUGGACUAGAGACCAGAGAUUUAAAGUAAAAAAAUGAAAUAAAAUAAAAACUCCCCCCGACCAUGA